rnacentral:rRNA from 1 species
GUGGGGAAUCUUGCGCAAUGGGCGAAAGCCUGACGCAGCCAUGCCGCGUGAAUGAUGAAGGUCUUAGGAUUGUAAAAUUCUUUCACCGGGGACGAUAAUGACGGUACCCGGAGAAGAAGCUCCGGCUAACUUCGUGCCAGCAGCCGCGGUAAUACGAAGGGGGCUAGCGUUGCUCGGAAUUACUGGGCGUAAAGGGCGCGUAGGCGGACAGCUUAGUCAGAGGUGAAAGCCCAGGGCUCAACCUUGGAAUUGCCUUUGAUACUGGCUGUCUUGAGUACGGGAGAGGUGAGUGGAACUCCGAGUGUAGAGGUGAAAUUCGUAGAUAUUCGGAAGAACACCAGUGGCGAAGGCGACUCACUGGCCCGUUACUGACGCUGAGGCGCGAAAGCGUGGGGAGCAAACAGGAUUAGAUACCCUUGUAGUCC